rnacentral:rRNA from 1 species
CCUACGGGAGGCAGCAGUGGGGAAUAUUGGACAAUGGGCGAAAGCCUGAUCCAGCAAUACCGCGUGUGUGAAGAAGGCCUGAGGGUUGUAAAGCACUUUCAAUUGGGAGGAAAACAGGCAGGUUAAUAUCCUGUCUCUUGACAUUACCUUUAGAAGAAGCACCGGCUAACUCCGUGCCAGCAGCCGCGGUAAUACGGAGGGUGCAAGCGUUAAUCGGAAUUACUGGGCGUAAAGCGUUCGUAGGCGGUUAUUUAAGUUAGAUGUGAAAGCCCCGGGCUUAACCUGGGAACUGCAUUUAAAACUGGGUAACUAGAGUUUAGGAGAGGGAAGUGGAAUUUCAGGUGUAGCAGUGAAAUGCGUAGAGAUCUGAAGGAACACCAGUGGCGAAGGCGACUUCCUGGACUAAAACUGACGCUGAGGAACGAAAGCGUGGGUAGCAAACGGGAUUAGAUACCCCGGUAGUCCACGCCGUAAACGAUGUCAACUAGCCGUUGGGCCUAUAUACAGGCUUAGUGGCGGAGCUAACGUAUUAAGUUGACCGCCUGGGGAGUACGGCCGCAAGGUUAAAACUCAAAGGARUUGACGGGG